rnacentral:rRNA from 1 species
UACGAAGGGGGCUAGCGUUGUUCGGAAUCACUGGGCGUAAAGCGCGUGUAGGCGGAUUGUUAAGUCGGGGGUGAAAUCCCGAGGCUCAACCUCGGAACUGCCUUUGAUACUGCAAAUCUCGAGUCCGGAAGAGGUGAGUGGAAUUCCUAGUGUAGAGGUGAAAUUCGUAGAUAUUAGGAAGAACACCAGUGGCGAAGGCGGCUCACUGGUCCGGUACUGACGCUGAGGUGCGAAAGCGUGGGGAGCAAACAGG